rnacentral:rRNA from 1 species
UACGUAGGUGGCAAGCGUUAUCCGGAAUUAUUGGGCGUAAAGCGCGCGCAGGCGGUCCUUUAAGUCUGAUGUGAAAGCCCACGGCUCAACCGUGGAGGGUCAUUGGAAACUGGGGGACUUGAGUGCAGAAGAGGAAAGCGGAAUUCCACGUGUAGCGGUGAAAUGCGUAGAGAUGUGGAGGAACACCAGUGGCGAAGGCGGCUUUCUGGUCUGUAACUGACGCUGAGGCGCGAAAGCGUGGGGAGCGAACAGG